UACGUAGGGGGCAAGCGUUGUCCGGAAUCAUUGGGCGUAAAGAGCGCGUAGGCGGCCCUGUAAGUCCGCUGUGAAAGUCAAGGGCUCAACCCUUGAAUGCCGGUGGAUACUGCAGGGCUAGAGUCCGGAAGAGGCGAGUGGAAUUCCUGGUGUAGCGGUGAAAUGCGCAGAUAUCAGGAGGAACACCGAUGGCGAAGGCAGCUCGCUGGGACGGUACUGACGCUGAGGCGCGAAAGCCAGGGUGGGAGAAACGGG
rnacentral:rRNA from 1 species